UAUUCCCCAUGGUCCUUUCAGGAACCCCAGCAUCCACUACGGACUCCGAGAAAUAGAAUUAUCGGUAAGUAAAUUCUUAUUAUUGAACCACGUGUGUGUGUGUGUGUAUAUAUAUAUAUAUAUAUAUAUAUAAGAGCUGCGUACAUUUACACAAUGAGAGUCUUCUUACCUUAUUUAUUGAACCACGUGAGUGUGUGUGUGUGUGUGUGUGUGUGUGUGUGUGUGUGUGUGUGUGUGUGUGUGUGUGUGUGUGUAUAUAUAUAUAUAUAUAUAUUUAAAUUAACUUAAAUAGCUAUAUAUAACUAAAUCUGUCCAGUAUGAUUGUUUGUGCCAGACCUUUGCUGAGAGGUGAAACCUGUUUGGCAGUCUACUAGGUAACUGACGAGCUCUGUACAGUUUGGUGAAGUUGAACAGCUAGUUGCGGCCAGUAAGGGUGAUAAACGCCCUGUUCUGUGCUAUACUGUUUGAGCUUUUUAAUUAUCUACAAGUGGCGACACAGAGAUAAAUCCUCCGUGUCCCCUCCGUCGCUGAAAGACUAUUUGUGUGGUCCGUAUGGCCACCAGUAUUGUGGCGCAAAUACCACAGUUCCCUGGGGUCCGGAGGUCAUCACUAGUCCUGUUUACUUUAGGCUGCGUUUAGACCCUGAAGAACGAUCUCUUUGGGCACUAAGUGGUAUUGGCUAAACAGCCAGGGUAGCUGCCGAGAUGAGUGUAAGGGAUGUGUGUGUACAUAUAGGAUUGUACCUAGCGCAGGAGAACGCUAUUGUUACUAUGUAAUGUAGCUGAUCACUUGGGCCCAGCGGGUACUUUCUAAGCACUGCGCACUGUAUUGUACCUGUAGCCUGGUUUACGGUUAUAUGAAUGUCCCUAAAGGACAGGUGUCCUCUUGUUACAGUAACAGAUAUUAACAAAAAUAAGUGUGUGUGUAUAUGAAACAGGAGUGUGGCAUAACAUUUUCUGUGCAAGCUGGUGGUCCCUGGUGUCAGCUGGGCAGGAUGGCAGACGUGCCCAUCGAUGAGAUUACAGGUAUGGGGGGGUCUUAUCCGCAGAUGACAAACCCUUCUCCCAGGUACGUUUUGUGUCUGCUGAGCUGUUUCGCUGUCAUGUAGUUGUGCGAUUGUUAAUGAUUACCUCUUGUGUAGUUCAGUGGUCUUCUCUACCCUGCCUCACACAGCAUUUUGGGAGAUUAUAUAUAGGUAGCGCACAGGUUACAGUGGCGUGGAGUAUUUGUCUGUAUGUGCGUCGGCGGGGGAGCGUAGCGAUGGAUUAGGUGACAGGAUGGGAUGAGGUCUCGGGUACAUUGUUACUUCUGUCUGUUCUCUGUGUGUCCUUUAUAUCCUAUAUAUAACUGUAAUAACAUGUCUCUGGCAUAGUAUAUAAUGCCGGGUGCUGCUGGUACUUACCACUUGUACAUACCCAGUAGCUAAACGCUUUGGGGUGGAUGCAGACCUGGCUGUACAGGUGACGUCGGAGCAUCACUGGCGUCGGUUUGCACUGCUUGUGCUCCUGAAAUGGACGCACACCACAGCGCAGUCAUACACAUUUCCAUUGAGUGUAUAUAGAUACGGAAACGGGUCGCCUAAAGUGGAGGUCCUGGCCUCGACACGCCUCUCUGAUAGGAAACGGAUGCCGCCCCCUCCUGAGCCUCAAACGCCAGCAAACGCAGUCACUAAGGCAUCGCAGACCCGCGCUGCACAGGGUCAGUACAUGUCCAGGGAACACUCAUCGCCAAUCAUAUUAGAGAGAUUGGGGAAACCUUAUUGUACUGAAUUACAAUAUGACAUCGGGUUUGCUAGAUCGGCUCUCAUUUUUUAGAUGCAUCUUAUGGGCCCUACAGACUGGGCGACCCGCCGCCGAACUGCUCGACCGCCGAUACGGCAGACAGGCGACCCGGCGGCGGGGAAGUGGUGACGGGGGGAGUGGAGUUUCUUCACCCCACUGUCACCCGGCUCCAUAGCAGUGCAUGCAGAUAUGGACGAGAUCGUCCAUAUUGGCCUGCAUGCACAAGCGACGGACCACCAACAAUGAACAAGCACGGGGCCGCACAUCGUUCAUCACUGGUGCCUCCACACUGCACGAUAUGAACGAGUUCUCGUCCAUUAAUGAAUGAGAACGUUCUAUCUUGCAGUGUUAUCUGUCAGUGUGUAGGGUCCUUUUGUAUUCAGCAAUCCCAAAAUAAUAUAACAUUUGUUAUAAUUAACAAUCCUUGCCAUCUAAUUUUUUUCUCUUUGCAAUCCAAUUUGGAAGUGUUUGUCAUUAACUUAAUGUGGUUUCAAAAAGAAGUCUGAUUGCCCAGCAACUAAUCUAGGUGAAAAUUUGUAAGGCAGGCAGCAGGAAGCCACAGACUGAGAGUUAUAUAGUGGUGAGAGCAGGGUCCCCAGCAGCACAGAGUAUAUCAGGAGAUGAGUGAUGUGUCAGUGAGUACAGGGCUGCAUGUGACAGGGGCAUGAUGUGAGGAGGGGAAUGGAGGCAGCAGGAAGCCACAGACUGAGAGUUAUAUAGUGGGAGGAGCAGGGUCCCCAGCAGCACAGAGUAUAUCAGGAGAUGAGUGAUGUGUCAGUGAGGACAGGGCUGCAUGUGACAGGGGCAGUGACAUGAUGUGAGGAGGGGAAUUGGGGCAGCAGGAAGCCACAGGCUGUUUGAAAAUACACUAGAUGCAUGCAUACAUUCAACCCAUACCUGUAUGUAUGUAUGUAUGUAUGUAUAUUAAGAUAUAUAUGUCCUCUUCAGGGUCCAUAGGGAUCCACAUGGAUACUAUGGGGUGUAGGUGGUUGGAGAGGACCGGGCACCAAACAGUUAAAGCUUUAGCUCCCAAAAUGCCUUGGUCCCUCCUCCGCUACAGCCCAGCCAGUUUUAGUUUGUAUAUAUGUGCGUGUCCUCUUUAAUGCUUAGGACAGAACGUUUUUCCUUUAAAUCAUUAAACUUAAUUGAGAAAUCCCCCUCUUUGCCCAGUCUGUCCGUGUAUUACUCCAAGGUACUCACAGUAACUGGGCCGGAACGCAGCAAUAAGUCACUUUUCUGUAUCUACGCUAAUCCUUCUGUCUGGGUGAGGAGUUUCCCCAUACUGUGUGUAUGUAUAACAUAUAUCCGUUAUUGGGGUGUUAUUAUCUUAGCACUAGGAUACGAGGGAAAGCUGUGCAGAGCAUUGCGCAUCCUCUCUGGGUGAGCGUGACGUUCUGCAUUACGCAGGCUUCUCCUGUUCCUGUUGUAGCUCUGUGCUGUAAAUACGUGGGAAUCGUGUAAUGAGUAGGGACAGUAUAUUGCGGUGGCAGAGUGUAACUAUAUUACAGUGAGAGGGUUUAUAAAGGGAAUUUGUUUAGGUAGGCAAUGCCUGGCAUUAAAAUAAUGGGAAUUGCAACAAUUUAUAAGGGAGAAAUAAUACUGCCGGCAUUUGCCGACGUCUAUGCACCUGUUUGGCUGUAGGCGGUAGAGGCGUUUUGUGGCUGCAGCAAUAUGCAAUGCAGCACAUUAUGGGGGAAACCAGUCCGCAUCUAGCCUGUAUUUAUCCGGUGCAGUCUAUAAAAUGACAGGAAGAAGGCGGGCGGUUACUAUGGGCAACGUCUGCACUCUAUAAAAGACGUGCUACAUUUCCUCCUAAUUCACUAGGAACCAAGGCCUGAUUCGUGUUGGUACGCAAUGGACGGUUAUCCUGCAUCAGAGUGAUUAUCGUCAGACUGCGCUUGUGCUGCGAUCGCAGUGCGCAUGCGCCAAGGUGCCGCUGCAAUCCCCCUCGCAAUGAGGGUUUCAUAGAGAAGUGACUGACAGUAAGUGACCGUUUGGAGGUGUUAACAGAGUGUCUAUGGGGAGCGGUUGGGGAAAUGUGGGUGCGUCAUGGAUGUUUUUGGGGCCUGUAUCUGCCUUCAGCUGCAAUCAUGCAUGCCGUGAAAACUGGCUCCAGUGUCGCUACUGCCGCAUCUGGUGCCAAAUUCAGCUUUAGCUGUAGUGUUGCUAAAAGCAGCAUAACUACAACUCUUUUCUCUAACAUGCUGGGGGCCUCCCCGUAUGCCAGGUCCUGCCUCCCCCUCCCCGCAUGCCGGGUCCUGCCUCCCCCUCCCCGUAUGCCAGGUCCUGCCUCCCCCUCCCCGCAUGCCGGGUCCUGCCUCCCCCUCCCCGCAUGCCGGGUCCUGCCUCCCCCUCCCCGUAUGCCAGGUCCGGCCUCCCCCUCCCCGCAUGUCGGGUCCUGCUCCCCCCCCCCCCCUUUUCCUGCUAACAUUUGAGAGCAUUACAUGAUUAAGGUUGCCUUCUAGCUGCGAAGGCAGUCGCAGUGCCUGGGUGUGAUGUCAUGCAGCCGCCGCAGCCCGUCCCUUAAACGGUCUGGACACGCCUGUGUUGUCCAGGCCACACCCCUUAAAUGGAGCGUCGAUCCCCCUGUUCCCGCGCCCCUCCAGGAUUGCAGUUUCAGACCUCACGCAUGUGCACACCACUGUGCUCGCAGGUGCAGGAGUGUGGAAAUCGGCAAAUAGUGAUUUCCGCACUUCUCCGGGCAUUACUGAAUUACGCCCCCAGUCUGCUUAGCCAUACGGCAACCGAUGUUCCUCAUUCUUGCUUACAGGCUACGAAUGUGUACACAAUGGUGACUGAGCUUGCAAUGAGUCCAGUGGGUUUCCCUGUUUAAUUCCUAGGCGGCAGCAGCAACUGCUAACACUAGCACCGUAGCACAGAAAACCGCGCUCGCUAAUGCAUUAGCGUAUAAACAUGAAUGAGGAACUAUUACUGCGCUUUGCUCCAUCCCUUAGAAUGCCUCCACCGUAUGCAGGAGACAGGUACAAUCUAAAUGCACAAGAGCGUUUCCCAGAGAGGGACAAUGGAUAUUAACAUCCAAUAUUUCUCAUGUUUUUUGCAAAUGAUUAAUGCAAUGUAGCUGAUAUUUGUAGGUCACAUAUUUACAGUCCGUCUUAUUCACGUGUCGCUGUGACGCGCUGCAGUGCAGUGGAUUGCAAUACAACAAUUCCCAUUUUUGCCUGAAACGACACCGUCUGCAUUAUUCUGCCUGUCUGUGCAUGUAACAUCUAGCCGGGCCAGGAUAAUAUCAUACAGCGAGGUGGCUAAUGUCUGUCCUGGGAAACCUUCAUUGUUUGUGGUAUAUACAAGAUCCUCAUGACAUUGUGAAGGGAAAGUUGUUAUUGUUGCUAAUUUUAUUUUUUAAAGGGAAUUUAUAGGGGCUAUUUAUUAAGAAUGUAAAGAUUUUGGUAAUUUUACUGAUUUAACUAAAAAGAACAUAUAUAUGAGAGGUCUAUUCUGUAUUUGAAGCAUUUUAAUUUCCCUUUACAUGAAGGGAUUUAUUGAACGAGUUGCAUCAACUUUUACACCCAGACAAACUAAACGACGGAAAGAAUUAUUUUGCAAACUUGUUGAAUGGUUGAUUAAAGUUCUUUCUACAAAGCAUGUCAGGAUAUAUAUGAUGGAAUGGAUUAUAUUGUGCAAACCUCUGUGAACAAAUAUAAUACAUAUAUUAAAUAAAUGUCACAUUACAAA